rnacentral:rRNA from 1 species
GAUGAACGCUGGCGGCGUGCUUAACACAUGCAAGUCGAACGGAAAGGCUCCUGCUUGCAGGGGUACUCGAGUGGCGAACGGGUGAGUAACACGUGGGUGAUCUGCCCUGCACUUCGGGAUAAGCCUGGGAAACUGGGUCUAAUACCGGAUAGGACCACAUUUUGGAUGGUGUGGUGGAAAGUUUUUCGGUGUGGGAUGAGCUCGCGGCCUAUCAGCUUGUUGGUGGGGUAAUGGCCUACCAAGGCGUCAACGGGUAGCCGGCCUGAGAGGGUGUACGGCCACAUUGGGACUGAGAUACGGCCCAGACUCCUACGGGAGGCAGCAGUGGGGAAUAUUGCACAAUGGGCGCAAGCCUGAUGCAGCGACGCCGCGUGGGGGAUGACGGCCUUCGGGUUGUAAACUCCUUUCGCUAGGGACGAAGCGUUUUUGUGACGGUACCUGGAGAAGAAGCACCGGCUAACUACGUG